CUGGCGGCGUGCGUAACACAUGCAAGUUGCGCGGUGAUCGUCAAGAAGUUUCGGACGGAAAGGGAGAGCAGCAGCGGACGGGUGAGUAAAGCACAAGGAACUUGUCCCGAAGAGGGGGACAACUGUGGGAAACCACAGCUAAUACCCCAUAAGCCGAGAGGUGAAAGCAGCGAUGCGCUUUAGGAGAGACUUGUGUCCUAUCAGGUAGUUGGUGAGGUAACGGCUCACCAAGCCGAAGACGGGUAGCCGGACUGAGAGGUUGUACGGCCACAUUGGAACUGAGAGACGGUCCAGACUCCUACGGGAGGCAGCAGUGGGGAAUAUUGGGCAAUGGGGGGCCAACCCUGACCCAGCGACGCCGCGUGAGGGAAGACAGCCUUCGGGUUGUAAACCUCUGUUGCAGGGGAAGAAGAAAGUGACGGUACCCUGCGAGGAAGCUCCGGCAAACUACGUGCCAGCCGCGGC
rnacentral:rRNA from 1 species